UACGUAGGGUGCGAGCGUUGUCCGGAAUUAUUGGGCGUAAAGAGCUCGUAGGCGGUGUGUCACGUCGGCCGUGAAAACCUGCAGCUUAACUGUGGGCGUGCGGUCGAUACGGGCAUCACUGGAGUUCGGCAGGGGAGACUGGAAUUCCUGGUGUAGCGGUGAAAUGCGCAGAGUAUACAGGAGGAACACCGGUGGGCGAAGGCGGGGUCUCUGGGCCGAUACAUGACGCUGGAGGAAGCGAAAGCCGUGGGGAGCAAACAGG
rnacentral:rRNA from 1 species